CAGUAGCCGCGGGAAAACGUAGGUGGCAAGCGUUGUCCGGAACUAUUGGGCGUAAAGGGCUCGCAGGCGGUUUCUUAAGUCUGAUGUGAAAGCCCCCGGCUCAACCGGGGAGGGUCAUUGGAAACUGGGAAACUUGAGUGCAGAAGAGGAGAGUGGAAUUCCACGUGUAGCGGUGAAAUGCGUAGAGAUGUGGAGGAACACCAGUGGCGAAGGCGACUCUCUGGUCUGUAGCUGACGCUGAGGAGCGAAAGCGUGGGGAGCGAACAGGAUUAGAUACCCCGGUAGUCCCUGUCUCUUAUAC
rnacentral:rRNA from 1 species